UUUUUUUUUCUUUUUUUUUUUUUUAAGAGAGCACCAAGGAGGACAGAGCAGGUUAAUAUCUCCCAUCUCACUGGCAAGGGUUUCAUAAUCUCCUAGCACUUUGGCCACUCAGCUCUUCCUCUUUUUCCACUCCAGCUCCUUUUGCUGGGCUACCUUAGCUUCCAAGCAGCAUCCCCAGUCCCACACAGAUCACUGCUGUACAGGUGGUAGUUAAAAAUAUACAGCAACUGCUGAUGCUGAAGCCUGGUCAAAAUUUACAUUUACACAUCACCUCAAUAUCAUAUACUUUCUUUUUAAAAUUUAUACUUCUAUUGCUAUUAUGCAAUGUAACAGAGAAAACAAUCAGAGAGGAUAAUCCAAGAGGACAAUCCUGUUUGUACCUUCCUUUGGUUGUGUUAUUUCUACAAGAGAUUUGGUUCAAGCUUUUGGGGGGAAGGAAAAGUACAAAGGCCAGCAACAAUACAGCAGGUACAGUCAUGAUUCAAGACUCACCUUUGUUAUGACAAGAGGUUCUGUGGAGCCAGUCUGCGCAUUCUCACCAGUCACCACAUCCAACGUCCAGGUGCCGUGCCACCUAACUUGUCUUAUUCCAAACUCUUGGGGAUUGAGCAUUCUCUAAAGUCAAAUGAAUCUGACCUUUUCCUAAUACUCCCCAGCUGCAACCCACACAGAGUGUUUGAGCACACACCUUGGCCUCUAAGCGGUUCCAGGCCCCUGUGACAGGCCUGCAGGCUGGCCAAGACCAGAACAGGGAGAGAUGUGCCUGCUCUGUCCUCAGGACCAUGUUGGGAAACAUCUGCUCCCUUCCCCAGUGUGUGACUCAAAGAACCCAGCAGCAUGCUCCUCACUCACCUGCACUUACAGUGCCAUAUUCCAGUGCAGUAUUUCCUGUUGAGACUUUCUGAAGUCUUGUUGUUUUAGGAGUCAGCAGUAAUAAGGCAGACACAUUACUUGGCAGUUCAUUUUGAAAGUCCUAUUACUGAAUUAUUUUGCAUUAAGUGAUGUCACAGUUGAGACAGCCACAAUACACAGAGUGUCACCAUACAAUGUCAGAAAGCUUCAGCCCAUACAGAGGCAACACCACCCCACUUCAGAAAGCUUCAAGCAUCUGCCCCUCUUGUCCUUCAGCCCAGCUUUUCAUACCCCUGAUUGCUCAUGCACUGCACCUGUGAGCCCUCUGCUCCCUUUGGUGGUUGGUCAGUGCCCUGGGCACUCCCUGGCUCAUUGCUGUCACUGCUGCUCACCUGCUCCUCACAGCUGUGCCCAUGGGGAUGAGGCUGGGCCAGCCCCACCCCAAUCACAACGAACUUUGUACCUACAAAGUGACACAAAUAAGAAUAUAAUAACAAAAUUCUGACCUUCAGAAAACUUUUAUCGGCUUUACCCAUAAUGUGAAAUUAUUUUUCACAGUUAUUCACAAAAUCUAGAUAGGGAAAACUGGAUCAUACAUAUUGAAAUUACUUUGAGGUAAAAGAGAAAAACUAGUUUAGAUUAAACAUGCUUUCUGCUCACUCCCUACUCCAAGUAACCCAAUUUUCUAUAGUUAUACACUUGCUUUUUCUGCCCAUUGUGGUCUGAUCAAAAAUAUCCUUCAAAAAGGCUUCUUUAUGCUACUGGGUCAGUUUCAGUCUGCAGCACAAUUUACAUAGCAUCUAUUUCUAUUUCCUGCAAGGAUGAAUAGCCAAAUAUUUGUCUAUGUAAGUUCAGACUUCACUUUUGUACCAUUUUUAGCCAUCAUUCAAAUUGCUUCCACCAUUAAUGGAAAGAAAAAAAUGAACUUAGUUACAACAACUGGGGUAUUAAUUUAUUUUGGUAAUUUUUUUUCAUAUUAAACACAGAGCUUUUCAUAUGUUUGACAGAAUACUUACUUAGUCGUAUUUUUGUCAAGUCUUGUUUUUAAUCUUUUCCAAAUGGUCGAUUUUACUGUGCUGUUGAUGCAUAUGCAAUUCCAUGUGAUGCAAUUGCAUUGCACGGCUUAAUAUAUGAAAACAACCAAAGAUCAGAACAUUUAGCACCUGCAAAACAAUCUUCAAUUACUGUCUUUAGCCAGAUAAUAAACUAAGUAAAUGACAGCCAUGUGCCAUGCUAAUAAACUAACAGCAGAGGAUUGAAAAAUGUGAAAACAACUUUUAAAAAGAAGUGGUUAUUUAGCAUUGUUUUACAUUCUGGAAGAUGGGACUCUUUUGUAUUAUUUUAAAGGACAGUAUGCAAUCUGUAAGACAAUUAAAUUUUGUACGUAUUAAUCAUCAGGUGACAAUAUUUUUAUAUCAUAAUGAGGCUAUAGCUAAAAAGUGCCUUCACCAUUCCAGGCACUGCUCAACUGCUGGGUUUUUUUCACCCACACAAAAAGAAAGUGAAUAGCCAUUGAAAUAAUUUAAAUAUCUUCUUUUAUAAAAUAUAAAUAAAUAAAAUAAGCUUUCUAUUAUACAGUUUGGAGAAUUUUUGUUGUCAGAAUUUGUCUUUUUUUUAAUAUUUAGAAAGAAGACUACAAUGAAGAAAAGCAAGUGGGUUUGCCAUCAAAAGCAUUCAUUGCUGUGACACACAAACACCUGUCAGUGGAAAAAGUCUUCAACUUCUUCACUUCUCUUUACUAGGAAGAAAUGCGUAUGAAGCUUUCAGACUAUUUUCUUCCAGUGUUUUGAAGUACCUUUCAGUUCACAUGAAGGCUAACAAUUGCAAAGAAGCAGAAGAGAAGGAAAAGCUGGCAAAAUGGAAAGACUGAGGAGCAGUGAAAGCCUCCCUGCUUAUAGCUAUUCUUUUGUUGAACACUCAUAUGGCACACCCAUUUUAAAUACAGCACAAAUUAUAUACAAAAAAAAAACAUGAAAAAUAUUUCAAAAGUUUAAUUCCUAAUGCACAUUUCAUUCCCUGCAAAUAUUUUCUUCUGAAUGAGAGUUACUCAUUAACAACACAAAUCAUGAAAUAUUUAAUGAGCAACAGUAAUAGAACACUAUUUAUAUAAAAUUACAAUUUAUAUGCAGGGUUUUUUAUAUUUAUAUAGCAAUUUCUAAUUACCUUAUUCAGUGUGUAACUAAAAUAACUAUAGUAGACUAAGUCAGUUUUAUAGAUAACACUACUCAUGAAAUAAGAAGCAACAUUUUUAGAAAGUGUAUGAAAAAUGUUACAGAUUAUUUUGAAAUCACUGUUGCACAUGGCCACAUAAAGGGAAUUAAUCUUGCUAAUUUUAUAAGAAAAAAAUUCCAAAACAUCUCUUUCACUAACAUAAAUUAAAAUCUUUACAAAUUUCACAUUAAAAAAAAGAAAAAAAAAAAAAAAAAAAGAAAACUUGCAGAAGCAUCAAGCCAGCAGUCUUGUAACAGCAAAGCCUGCUUCUUGUGGAUUAGUAAACCCUCACUUACAUCUGAUAAAGUAGUUCUUCCUCCAGCUCUCCUUGCUUAGCUGCCCCUAUCAAUCCAGGGAUACCUUCCUUUUCUCUGAAACAAUUACACUUGAGGAGUUUUGAACUUCUGGUGCAGACUAAUCCAUUUAACUACAGAAGCACCUUUCAAGCUUCCAUUUGACACAAGUCCAUCGUUCAUCAUUUGCUGGUGCAUAUGCUUUUUGCUGACAGAGCUCCAUUACUAGAAAAAGCUCAGUAAGUAAAGCUGAUUUGAAACAACUAUAUAUUAUAGAUAGCCUGCAUGAGACACGCUGAUUUUGAGUCUAGAAAAUCACCACAUAAAAAAGGAAGGGGGGAGGGGUGGCUGAAAAGAACUAUUUAAUUAUUAAUAUACUUUCACUUCUUACCAACUGCUGCAAUGUGAUUUAUUAGCGUUAAUUUGCAAUUUACUUGGGCAUGGGAAGAGAAAUUUAACUCUAUACAGCAAAGUAUAUAACAUGCUUUGGAAUUCUUGGACCAGAAAUGUUUUUGUCUCUAAUUAACACCGCACCAAUGUUAUCACAGAUCCCUAUCAACUUCAGCAUGAUGUAAGAUCAUCAAGCUGGAAAUCAAUAUGCUGAACCAUAAAUUCUGCAGCACAAGCAAGAAUAUAUUUGAUUCUAUUUUUUGACCAGUGACAUAAUUUAGGUAACAUUAACAAGGCAUCUCUGUAGUGUAUUUGGCAGUAGUAAGUGAUUUACCAACAUGCAUUAAGGUUCAGCAUUUGGUGUGGUUUAGUAUUUUAGCCUCUAUUUUACAGAUGCAAGUACAGGGCAAGGAAGGGGUAAGUAAUGUACUCAACAUCCACAUUUUCUUAUUCAUCACUUCGGCUAAUAAACGUUAUGGCUACUGGGGGUGGGUAUAAGAAGGUUUCGCCAGUUUGGCUGUGCUCACUCAACCAUCAGAUUUUCUUUUUUGAGAGAGAGUAAAACAACAAAAAAAUAAUAACAUUUAAAAUAUAAGGAGUAUGGUAAUGAGAGCUGGUAGCAAAGUAAAGGGUCUAUCAGUGAAGUACAAUUAGCCUUCACAAACUUCCUUUAAGGCUCCAAGAGAAAAAGCACUUUCAUGAAACCAAGGAGGUACAUGCUCAGCCUGAAUGUCAAGUAAUAGUUAUAUCCCAGCUCUUCCAAGUGCCUUGCUUUAAAAAGGGAUAGAGUCACCUCCCCUAACAUUCACAAAUGUUGGGCCAAUCUUUUGGGGAAAGAGUGAGACAGAAAAGAAAGACAAAAGAAGCACCUGAAAUAAUAACAGACUUCAGGAUCUAUCUUUAAGGUAUAGCCAAAUAAGGCCUUUUCCUGCAACCAAUAUUCUUCUCUCUUCACUGACUGGAAUGAAAAAAAAAAAAAAAAAA
ensembl:lncRNA